UUCGGAUGAUCGAUCGGUGACUGAGUGGCGGACGGGUGAGUAACGCGUGGGUAACCGUGCCCUGUACAGGGGGAGUAACAGCUGGAAACGGCUGCUAAUACCGCAUAAGCGCACGAGGAGACAUCUCCUUGUGUGAAAAACUACCCGGUGGUACAGGAUGGGCCCGCGUCUGAUUAGCUGGUUGGCAGGGUAACGGCCUACCAAGGCAACGAUCAGUAGCCGGUCUGAGAGGAUGAACGGCCACAUUGGAACUGAGACACGGUCCAAACUCC
rnacentral:rRNA from 1 species